UAUAUUUAAAAAUAGAUUCAUAUUUCUUAUAAUUAAAAUUAAAAUAACACUCUCAUUAUUUAUUUUUUAAUAUG
rnacentral:miRNA from 1 species